UCUGAAGGAUUUUCUUUUGGUUUCUUUUGUUGCUUGGUUUUAACUAUUAUUGGAUGGUUAGUUUUUUUUUUUUUUCGGAAAAUAAAGCAACUGACAUUAUUGGAUUAAAAGAUUACAAGGUUUGGGCCGCAGCCCAUUGCCAAUUAAUUACAAAACAGGCCCUCUUGGGCAGCAAGGGCACAGGCCCAAUCAGAAAUAACCUUAACUUCAUUAAUGGUUAGUUUGUUCUCUUUGAAUGGAAGUGUCCGUCAGUUUAAUUGAGUCUCUAAAGUUUUUGAGGUUUCUCAAAUCAUUUUAUAUAGGUCAAGCAUGCAUGGGAGAGGAAGAUCCUACAACUUGAGCUGGAGCAAUUUGAAAUAGUUGGAGAACCACUGAAGGCAUUGCUGAUAAUUGGAAAAGGAGCUGUCUUCGUCUACAAGCACGGGCAUAAUUAAAUCCAGAUUGGCAGUCAGGUUUUUAGGCCCUCACACAGCUGUUACCAAUGCAAAGGCUACUAUAUCAUGUUUGGAAGCUUUAAAUUUUGGUGUGCUUAAUCUUUAAAGAUUUGUUGUGUUUACUCGAACGAGGUCACAGAACAUCCAUCCCCAUUCAUUACGCUCCACAAGGAAGCAUGUUUUGGGAAACACAGCCUAAGGAGUGCCAAGGUUGUUGAUUGUCGCAACAUUCAGCUUCAGGACCUAUGAUGACAAAUUUAGGUUGUCCAAGUGCUAUAGUGUCAGGUGGUUUUGGGUACCGAUUGAAUGGUUCGGUGAAGUGUUCGGCAUGCACAUGUGCGCUGAGGUGGGCGCUGGGCUGCAUUGCAUAUACUCACACAUAAACGCUCUAAUUUUUCUACCUCCAUUCUACUCUCUCACUGACCCACGACUUCACGACUUAGCGGUGCCCUUGGUGUGGCGCAGGGAGGAUCACGGCGGCGGUGGUCGAUUGGUGGCAUAUUGGAGAUCUGGACGAUGGUGGUUGUUGAUUGGGGCUACUAUAACUUGUAAGAACUUUAAACUCUAAUUUCCCCUUCUCAAGAGCUCCACUUAUAUAUCUCUCUCUUGUAUUAUCAAUGAAUGAAUCAGCUUCUAUUUUUGUUAAUUUCUUAAGUAAAAAUGAACAAUUGCAUAUAUUUAUAUAUAUAUAUAAUGGGUCUUUUUUGUAUGUUGUUUGGUAUGGUUGUUACUGAUUUUGGGGCUUUUGAUUUGUGGAGGAACUAGGGUUUUCAUGUUGGUUGUGGUGAUCUGUUUAUUUUGUUUUCUAAACAGUUGGGAGGCUUUCUUGGGUUUAACAUGUUAAAAGCCACAAAAAUAUAAAAAACAAAACAAGGCUU